rnacentral:rRNA from 1 species
AAAUUGAAGAGUUUGAUCAUGGCUCAGAUUGAACGCUGGCGGCAGGCCUAACACAUGCAAGUCGAACGGUAACAGGAAGCAGCUUGCUGCUUUGCUGACGAGUGGCGGACGGGUGAGUAAUGUCUGGGAAACUGCCUGAUGGAGGGGGAUAACUACUGGAAACGGUGGCCGGUGGC